AGGUGAUUCAUUUGGUAAAUUCCAUAAGGUCUGCCCUGCCCUGGAAUGGCUUCUCAGCAAGGCUGUCUCAGCUAGGCUGGGAAGGAGGUGGCUUUCAGUUCCGGUUUCCAAUCAGUGACUUCCAAGAACUGGUUAAGAAGCAGGAAGAAUAGAAAGAGUUAGAUGGUUUCUGUGUUGGGCUAAAAAAAAAACCUCUCAGAUACCCAGUUCCUACAAUGCAUGUCUCCUGGCAGCCAGACAAGGAAGGAGAGAAACUGUGAAGGGUGCCAGGGUGCCAACAAGAGCACUCGUGUUCUUGGCAGAGCUCAGAAUAGCGUUCACAGCUCUCAGUGAUUCAUCAUCUGCAGGCCUGCCCACCCGUGAUCCAAGUGACUGAGGACGGGAGAUGAGAAAAUCAAGGCCCAGAAAGAAGUUUUCUGGGGAUAGAAGACUCAGGAAACAUGAGAGAGCAGUAUAAAAUGUGUAAGUACACAGUGGAAGGCUGGGGUUCCUAGUGAGGAUUUUAGAAUCUCACAAACGAAAGCAGCCAGACACAAAAAAAUACGUGCAAUAUGAUUCCAUGUACAUGAAGAACAAAUGUGGAUCAAAUUAACUUAUGCCAUUAGAAGCGAGAAUAUUGGUUACCUUUGGGGACCAGGGUUGGGGGUGAGUGUCUGGGAAAGAGAACUUCUAGGGUGCUAUUAACCCUAGCCCUAUUCUAUUUCUUAAUCGGGGGGCUGGGUGCCUCUAUGGAUUCACUUUGUGAUAAUUUAUCAAAUGGUUCUGUAUGUGUGCUCUAUUUUAAUAAAAACAUUUAUUUAAAAAUACACACACAAUGAAAGAUGUAGGCCAGUCCUUCCCAACCUUGAACGUGGGUACAGGUCACUUGGGAUCUUACUAAAAUGCAAAAUUCAGGCCAGGUGCAAUGGCUCAUGCCUGUAAAUCCAGCACUUUGGGGGGCUGAGGCAGGAGGGUCACUUGAGCCCAGGAGUUUGAGACCAGCCUGGGCAAGACAGGGGGAUCCUGUCUCCUCUACAAAAAAAUAAAAAAUUAACUGGGCGUGGUGACACAUGCCUGUAGUCCCAGCUACUCAGGAG
rnacentral:lncRNA from 1 species